rnacentral:rRNA from 1 species
GCUGUUAAAUAAUACAAACACAAACAUCUAUGAAUCAACCAAACAAAUCAUUUGACAAACUAAGUAGUUAUGCGAUCGAACAGUAACAAUACUAUAAUAAGUACCGUAAGGGAAAACUAUAAGCAAUAAAUAGCAAAGAUUAACCCUUGUACCUUUUGCAUCAUGGUUUAGCAAGCCACCCAAGGACAUGAAGAAUCACAGCCCACACUCCCGAAACCAGAUGAGCUACUUCCGAGCAGCCUAAGGGGCAAACCCUUCUCUGUAGCAAAAGAGUGGGAAGACUUGAAAGUAGCGGUGAAACGCCUACCGAAUCUGGAGAUAGCUNGCUACCCCAAAAAGAAUCUAAGUUCUACUUUAGACCAAACCAUAACCACUUAUCCAACUAAAGACAGUCAAUAGGGGUACAGCUCUAUUGACACAGGAUUCAACCUGCAUCCGAGAGAAAUACAAUUAUUCAUUUAACCAGUANGCUUUAAAGCAGCCAUCUAACAAAAUAUCGUCAAAGAAUUAACAAAAAAAUUCAAACACUAAUAAAAAACUCCGAACAAACUAAAGGUAAACCCAUCUACAUGAGUACUAUUAUGCUAAAACUAAUAAUAAGACACCCCCUCUACCAACGCACCCCUCCACUAGAAACGGAUAAUCCACUAGCCAUUAACAGACCCAAACAGGCAACUAAUCAACCCAUACACACCCUCAUACAAACUGUGACACCAACACAGGCGCGUUAAAAAGAAAGAUAAAACAUUAUAAAAGGAACUCGGCAACCAAAGACCCCAACUGUUUAACAAAAACAUAACCUUUAGCCAAACAAAUAUUAAAGGCAACGCCUGCCCAGUGAACAAUUAAACGGCCGCGGUACCCUAACCGUGCAAAGGUAGCGUAAUCACUUGUCUAUUAAUUGUAGACCCGUAUGAAAGGCAAAAUGAGGGUCUGUCUGUCUCUUAUAAUAAAUCAAUUAAACUGAUCUUCCAGUAAAAAAGCUGAAAUACACACAUAAGACCAGAAGACCCUGUGAAGCUUUAACUAAACUAUUAAACCCAAUAAUACCUACUUUCGGUUGGGGCGACCUUGGAAAAAARAAGAACUUCCAAACACAUGACCACAAAUCAUAUACAGGCCUACAAGCCUAUAACAGACCCAGUAUAGCUGAUAAUUGAACCAAGUUACUCCAGGGAUAACAGCGCCAUCUUCUUCAAGAGUCCAUAUCAAAAAGAAGGUUUACGACCUCGAUGUUGGAUCAGGACAUCCUAAUGGUGCAGCCGCUAUUAAGGGUUCGUUUGUUCAACGAUUAACAGUCCUACGUGAUCUGAGUUCAGACCGGAGCAAUCCAGGUCGGUUUCUAUCUAUGAUACGCUCUGCCUAGUACGAAAGGACCGGCAUAGCAGAGCCAAUACCACAAGCACGCUCUUAACACCAUCAAAAAUUAAUACAAUACAACACAUUUUCCCAAACCAAGAAAAGGUUAAUUAAGGACAACCCUUA